rnacentral:rRNA from 1 species
CGGGUGAGUAACGCGUAUCCAACCUUCCGUUUACUCGGGUAUAGCCUUUCGAAAGAAAGAUUAAUCCCCGAUAGUAUGGUAAGAUUGCAUGAAAAUACCAUUAAAGAUUCAUCGGUAAACGAUGGGGAUGCGUUCCAUUAGGUAGUAGGCGGGGUAACGGCCCACCUAGCCAACGAUGGAUAGGGGUUCUGAGAGGAAGGUCCCCCACAUUGGAACUGA